GAGAAAGUUACUAAGAGCGCAUGGGGGAUGCCCUGGCUCUCAGAGGCGAAGAAGGACGUGAUAAGCUGCGAUAAGCUCCGGGGAGGUGCAAAUAACCAUUGAUCCGGGGAUUUCCGAAUGGGACAACCCGGCCACAGCGAUGUGGUCACCCACCAAGUGGGGGCAAACGCGGGGAACUGAAACAUCUAAGUACCCGCAGGAAGAGAAAAUAACAAUGAUUCCGCAAGUAGUGGCGAGCGAACGCGGAAGAGCCCAAACCGGGGAUGUUGAGGCAUGCCCGGGGUUGUAGGACUUCGACACCGUGGAAGUUUGUGAACGGGAACGGUCUGGGAAGGCCGUCCGCAGAGGGUGAAAGGCCCGUACCGGCAAGCAAACCACACGCAGAAGGAUCCUGAGUAGGGCGGGACCGGAGGAAUCCUGUCUGAAGCAGGCGGCACCAUCCGCCAAGGCUAAAUACUCCUGAGAGACCGAUAGCGAACAAGUACUGUGAAGGAAAGGUGAAAAGAACCCCGAACAGGGGAGUGAAACAGAACCUGAAACCGUGCGCUUACAAGCGGUCGGAGCCCCUUUGUGGGGUGACGGCGUGCCUUUUGCAUAAUGAGCCUACGAGUUGCCGUGCAUGGCGAGGUUAAGCCUCUGAGAGGCGGAACCGAAGCGAAAGCGAGUCUGAAGAGGGCGCUUAGUCAUGCAAGGCAGACGCGAAACUUAGUGAUCUACAUGCGUCCAGGCUGAAGUUGCGCUAAACCGCAAUGGAGGGCCGAACCAGUAAACGUUGAAAAGUUUUUGGAUGAGGUGCGUGUAGGAGUGAAAGGCCAAUCAAACUGAGAGAUAGCUCGUACUCUCCGAAAUGCCUUUAGGGGCAGCCUCGUGUAUGGUAUGCCAGAGGUAAAGCUACUGAUUGGAUGCGGGGGUUUCACCGCCUACCAAAUCCUGACAAACUCUGAAUGCUGGCAUAUUGAAUCGCGGGAGUGAGGCUUCGGGUGCUAACGUCCGGGGCCGAGAGGGGAACAACCCAGACCAUCGGUUAAGGUCCCAGAAUCCGCGUUAAGUUGAGAAGAACGGCGUCCCGCUGCACAGACAGCUAGGAUGUUGGCUUGGAAGCAGCCAUUCAUUCAAAGAGUGCGUAACAGCUCACUAGUAGAGUGGCGGGGCAUGGAUAAUAAUCGGGCAUGAAACGCGGUACCGAAACUGUGGGAUAGCGAUAUCGGUAGGAGAGCAUUGCAAGCUGCGGAGAAGGUGUGGCGCGAGCCGUGCUGGAGCGCUUGGAAGAGCAAAUGUAGGCAUAAGUAACGACAAGGCGGGCGAGAAACCCGCCCACCGAAAGAUCAAGGUUUCCCGGCCAACGUUAAUCGGACCGGGGUAAGUCGGGGCCUAACGGGGAGCCAGGGUAACUGGC
rnacentral:rRNA from 1 species